rnacentral:rRNA from 1 species
UACGUAGGGUGCAAGCGUUGUCCGGAAUUAUUGGGCGUAAAGAGCUCGUAGGCGGCUUGUCGCGUCGUUCGUGAAAACCUGCAGCUCAACUGCAGGCUUGCGGUCGAUACGGGCAUGCUAGAGUUCGGUAGGGGAGACUGGAAUUCCUGGUGUAGCGGUGAAAUGCGCAGAUAUCAGGAGGAACACCGGUGGCGAAGGCGGGUCUCUGGGCCGAUACUGACGCUGAGGAGCGAAAGCGUGGGGAGCGAACAGG